rnacentral:rRNA from 1 species
AUACAGAGGGUGCGAGCGUUAAUCGGAAUUACUGGGCGUAAAGCGCGCGAAGGCGGCUACUUAAGUCAGAUGUGAAAUCCCCGGGCUCAACCUGGGAACUGCAUCUGAUACUGGGUAGCUAGAGUUUAGGAGAGGGAAGUAGAAUUUCAGGUGUAGCGGUGAAAUGCAUAGAGAUCUGAAGGAAUACCAGUGGCGAAGGCGGCUUCCUGGCCUAAAACUGACGCUGAGGUGCGAAAGCGUGGGUAGCAAACGGGAUUAGAAACCCCAGUAGUCC